UCCCAGGGCUGCUGGGACACGUGGCCGC
rnacentral:piRNA from 1 species